GUCGGCUAACCUGCCCUCGGGACGAGAACAANNNNNGGGAAACUGGGGCUAAUUCUCGAUAGGCGAAGAACUCUGGAAUGAGUCUUUACCCAAAAGAUGUUUAGAUCAUGCUUCUAGGCGUCGCCCAAGGAUGGGGCCGCGACCGAUCAGGUAGUUGGUGAGGCAAUGGCUCACCAAGCCUUUAACCGGUGCGGGCCGUGGGAGCGGGAGCCCGGAGAUGGGCACUGAGACAAGGGCCCAGGCCCUACGGGGCGCAGCAGUCGCGAAAACUUUGCAAUAAGCGAAAGCUUGACAGGGCUAUCCCGAGUGCCAUCCGCUGAGGAAGGCUUUUACCCAGUCUAGUAAGCUGGGGGAAUAAGGAGAGGGCAAGUCUGGUGUCAGCCGCCGCGGUAAUACCAGCUCUCCGAGUGGUGUGGAUGUUUAUUGGGCCUAAAGCAUCCGUAGCUGGCUGAGUUAGUCCCCUGUUAAAUCCACCGAAUCAAUCGUUGGAUUGCGGGGGAUACUGCUCGGNUAGGGGACGGGAGAGGCAGACGGUAUUUCCGGGGUAAGGGUGGAAAUCUUAUAAUCCCGGGGAAGACCACCNAUGGC
rnacentral:rRNA from 1 species